AUGCUUCAAGAUGCAAUGAUAAUAAAUCAACUGUGGACCCUGCCAUUGUCAAAGAACUACAAAAAAAUGCUUGAUGAGAACAACGUCCUCGCAAAAUCUUUCAGAAUGGCAAGAGAUAGAUUCAAAGAAGAAGACUACCAUGAUUACACACUUAGAAUACUUGGGAAAAGGAACGGAACACACAACCUUCCAUCUGCAUCGGAAGUUGCAGCAUUGGUUGUAAGAGACCUAACUGGAGAGAGCGAAGGACGAGAUAUCGUUGUCGAGUACAAAAAUAUGGUGCCUCACAGAAUAUCGGAAACCCAUCCAAAAUUAAUGUCGAUGCAAUACCCAUUGUUGUUUCCAUACGGAGAAGACGGCUUCAAGCUUGAAAUACCUUACAACCGAACAAAAGAAGAUGACAAAAGCAGGAAAUAUGUAACUAUGCUGGACUACUACGCAUACUACCUACAGCAAAGACCCGACCAAGGAAUGUCGCUGCUAACGUCUAGACAUCUGUCUCUGCAAUUUUGGGUAGAUGUUUACACAUGCAUUGAGCAAACAGACUAA
rnacentral:rRNA from 1 species